UAUCUGUCCAAAUACAAAUAUAAAUUCACACUUUCUGAAACCCUAUCUCAUCCUUUUCUCCCCCUUUUUCUCUCUCUGUUAGCAGUUCCUAAUCUCAUCUCUUCUCCCUUCUGUUCUUUCUUUCUUGGCUACCUCUCUUUUUUGCUUCUUUUUUAUCAAUAGCCUAUCUCAUUCAAGUCCUUUAGUUAUGAAUCAAUAAAAAAGAACAUAGCAGAAUGUUAGAAUCAAGGCAUCAAAAACAACAUUGAUUUCAAGUGCUUUUCUUUUAUCUUCUCCUACUAUCCCAAUAGUCCUCCUUACUCGUUUUUAUCUUUUAAAAACCCUAUAGAUACAAGAAAACCAAACGGAAGAAUAUGUCUAACCUUCUUACUCUUUUUUAUCUUUUAAAAAGCCUAUAGAUACAAGAAAACCAAAAGGAAGAAUAUGUCUAACCAGUUUCUUCCCCUACUACCCCCUCCACCUCCACCACCAUCAUCACCACCAAGUGGGUGUUCAGGUCCACCAUCACUAAGUUUUGGCAUCUUGGUUCGUUCAUAUAUAGGAGCCUUCACGAUUGUUGGUGCCUCAUGGGUUAUGGUUUGAGUUUGGCUUGAGCGGGUGAGAACCGACUAAUGUUCACCCUUACUCCAAUGGACUCCACUCAACGAGAGCUUUGAAAUGGGACUAACUUGCUUCGAUCGAGCACUAGAUAAAAGAGAUAAUCAUCAGUUGGUCAAGAUCGAUAGGUACAUUCACAUAAACAGUACCCUUUUAAAGGUGGGACUGCAUUUUCAGCCAAUCUAGAGUGCCCAAUGGAUCAUCCCAAAAGGUAGCCAAUUUUAUACUAUAUCUUAGCAUUUUCAGACACUCAUGACGCAUUCCUUAUAGUAGAAUCAACAUCAGUAAGUUCGAGCUCCAACUCAAUGGUUUAACUUAAAAACUAGAGUAGUUAAUUAAUAAAAUAUUUCUAACUUAAUAAAAUUAAAUAAAAUGAAUUGAAAGGACUUAUUAACCAUGUAAAAGACUUCCAGGAAUAUUAUUAUAAUUUUCAAAAUCAUGAACAUAAUUAAACAGACUGUAGAGGUAUCAGGGGACCAAAUUAGAGUUUGGAUAAACAUGAAGGUGAGACUUGCAAAGCAAAAAUUUUAAAAUUUUAAUUUAGCCUAGGUUUCAUAUAUCUCAUUCCAAAACCAAUUUCAUGCAAGCUAUUAUAAAAAACACAAAGGUUGCAACACUUGUAAUCUCCAUAAGUCAUCAAACCUAUUUUGCAAUUUAGGAAACUAAAAGGAAACACCUAAGCUAAGUUUAGGAUUACUUACCUAAGAGGCAUUGAAUCACAUUCAAUCACCUAAUCCAAGUAUGUAGGCCGCCAAAUGUAGACCCUCUAGUCCAUCCAUACGAACCCUUGUUAUCAAGAUUCCUAACUCUUGAAUCAAGUCCUCAUCCUUAUGCAUCUCCCAUGGUCAGCCAUCAAGUAUACAUAGAUGAAAAGGUUCAACUUUUGGGUAUUAGGUUUUACGUGGAUAAUUACAAAACAAUUUCUCUUAUUCAAAUUCAAGAGUAACAACUUCUAAUAUCUCUUGAAUUGUUUAGAAGAAAAGAAGAUGGUUAAAUAAUGGAGUCUUGGUUGAGAGAAAGUAUAAGAAGAAGAUGAAGAAAAAAGAGAAAUCCCUAAGUUCCCUUCAAGUGCAUGUGGGUUUCUCCUACUUAUACUUUAGAGAUAUGGGAAUCCCUAAAGUGGGGAGAAAUCCCUAACAUUUAGGCAUUUCAAAUGCCUAAAGUGGGCAAGUGUGGAGAAUAUUCUCCACUUUUUGGGACAACCUCGCCAUUUGUCACAUAUGUUUGUAUUUUGUCUCCCACUAAAGUGUCACAUGACAUCACAUGUCAAGACACAUCAAAUCCCAUUAAGCAUCUUCUUUCUCUCAAUGGCAUGCCCUAUGCAAUAUUUGUCUUGUUUUGGCAUGCCCAUGCUGAUGCUGCAUGCCCCAUGCAACUUUUGCACUGGGUUACAGCAUGCCUGAUGUUGCAUCCUAUCCAACUUUUAGCCACUUUGGUAUUUCUUUCUUUUAACCCAAUUUUUUAAAUUUAAUUUCAGGUCAUGCUAGGGACUUUUGGAAUCUUAUCGCAAAGCUAGAUUCAUUAAUUUAAUUAAUUAAUUAAUUAAAAUAUUUAAUCAAUCAAUUAAAAUAUUCAAGUCUAGAUCUCUUAAGUUCUAUUAUGUGUGACUUCCUAGGUUUAUAACUAAUUGGCAAUGAGAAUGAUAUUAACUCUUCAAUACUACGAAACUCUUUCCAUACCUAAAGUGAAAUUCCUUUUCCACCCUUGAUUCUCAUAAAUCAUGAUUGAUACCUACCAUAGUGUGUCAUGACUACUCAACUAGUGAUGAAUUAAGUUCAUCCCUUACUUAAAAACUUGAUCACACAUACCAUGCACUAAAGUCCAUCCGUUACAAAAUCCUGAUCCUAGCUAAGGCCAUGGUAUAUGUCAAAUCCUAAUCGCUUUAGAUCAUAUGUCCUCAUCUAAAUUUUAAUUCUUGAUUAACAAGACUUUCCAUCAGAAACUAUUUUCUAAUUAAGUCAAUCUUAUAAGUAUCCACUGUUUUUGAUCCGACAUUAAAUGGUAUGAGACUUAACAUUCCACUUUUACUAGUAUCUCAUACUAAUAUGUGGAAAUAAAUAGAGGUGAUAGUUUAGCCAGAUACAUCAUGUCCAAUAAAAUAUCCUUGACUAUGAACUAUUUAUAUCACUAGUAUUGGACAGUUUCAUCACUCAUAUUCUCAACUCUUUGAAAAUGGAACUUCCUAUAAGAAACUAAUGGGCUUAUUCAAUUUAACAUAAGCAUUUUAGGUUAAACUAAACAUAAAAGCUAUUCAAGAAAAUUAGGUUUACAAUACAUAAUACAAAGGUAUUACUAUAGGGCAUACCACUAACAAAAUAAACUUAUAUUAGUAUUUUAUAGCCCCUAGAUGGGUGUUAUGAUAUUAUUAUGGGCUAAGGCCAUUUUGUUAAAUUUACUUUGUAGGGGGAUAGGUGUAGGGACAAGGAAGACUUUAUUAAAUUUUCUACAGAUCCCUAAAGUUAUAAUUUUAUUUAUAUAAUUACGAUUAGAUAAUGAUCAACGUUUAGUAAAUUAGUGUGUUUGUAUAGGUCAGCUGAAUUGAACAUAUACCAGUUCUAACCAGGCUAGUAAUUAUGGGUUAACCAAUCUGUAAGUAGAAUCUACAUAAAUUAUUUUUAAAUAAAUAUUUAAAUUGCUUUAUUUUAUUUCAUGCACUCCUAAGCAUCAUGAUAUAAAUACGAUUUUAUUUUGAAUGCGUAUUUAUACAUAAUAGUAUUUUUAUUGCAUAAAUCAUGAAGAUGCUGCAUUAUUACUUUUGAUGUGUCGAUAAUUCAUGAAUGAACCAUUGGUUCCUAAUGCGAAAGUAAAGGAAAGGAGAGGAAACGAAAGGCAAGCAUGCAUAAUGAGCUCACUAAUGUUAAAGUUAUAGGAUGUAUGGGUAAGUGAAUUCUUUAUCUUCUGCAUCCACUAUGUAAUUUAUGUAUGAAAAUUAAAGAGAAGUCUAGUCAUAUGCAAAUCAAUGCUCUCAGUUCCAUGGACAAUAAAAGUUAACGAAAUGGGAUGGGGGAACUACUGGUGACAUGACCACCUUGAUGUGAGUUGAUUGUUCUAUGUAAAACUCAUAUACAUGAUGCAUUUCAUGUGCUUGAAUUAUUUUAUUUAAAUGUAUUUUUUUUCAAUAAGUAGACUUUUAUUCAUUAAGCCCCUAGCCUGUUCCCCUUCUUUUAUCUUCCUUUUAGGAACAAGUUUAGAGGAUUUUGAAUUGCAGACAACAAAUUUUGCAUAUUGGGUUCUAGAGGUUUGUCUGCCUUAAUUUUGCUCAUAAUGUUUACAUUGCUUUUGUCGAAUUUUGUUUUUGUAUGACAUAUAAUUUUGGUAU